GGGCGUUAAGUUGCAGGGUAUAGACCCGAAACCCGGUGAUCUAGCCAUGGGCAGGUUGAAGGUUGGGUAACACUAACUGGAGGACCGAACCGACUAAUGUUGAAAAAUUAGCGGAUGACCUGUGGCUGGGGGUGAAAGGCCAAUCAAACCGGGAGAUAGCUGGUUCUCCCCGAAAGCUAUUUAGGUAGCGCCUCGUGAAUUCAUCUCCGGGGGUAGAGCACUGUUUCGGCUAGGGGGCCAUCCCGGCUUACCAACCCGAUGCAAACUGCGAAUACCGGAGAAUGUUAUCACGGGAGACACACGGCGGGUGCUAACGUCCGUCGUGAAGAGGGAAACAACCCAGACCGCCAGCUAAGGUCCCAAAGUCAUGGUUAAGUGGGAAACGAUGUGGGAAGGCCCAGACAGCCAGGAUGUUGGCUUAGAAGCAGCCAUCAUUUAAAGAAAGCGUAAUAGCUCACUGGUCGAGUCGGCCUGCGCGGAAGAUGUAACGGGGCUAAACCAUGCACCGAAGCUGCGGCAGCGACGCUGAUGCGUUGUUGGGUAGGGGAGCGUUCUGUAAGCCUGCGAAGGUGGCCUGUGAGGGUUGCUGGAGGUAUCAGAAGUGCGAAUGCUGACAUAAGUAACGAUAAAGCGGGUGAAAAGCCCGCUCGCCGGAAGACCAAGGGUUCCUGUCCAACGUUAAUCGGGGCAGGGUGAGUCGACCCCUAAGGCGAGGCCGAAAGGCGUAGUCGAUGGGAAACGGGUUAAUAUUCCCGUACUUGGUGUUACUGCGAAGGGGGGACGGAGAAGGCUAUGUUGGCCGGGCGACGGUUGUCCCGGUUUAAGCGUGUAGGUGUGUGUUCCAGGUAAAUCCGGUUCACUUUAACACUGAGGCGUGAUGACGAGGCACUACGGUGCUGAAGCAACAAAUGCCCUGCUUCCAGGAAAAGCCUCUAAGCAUCAGGUAACAUCAAAUCGUACCCCAAACCGACACAGGUGGUCAGGUAGAGAAUACCAAGGCGCUUGA
rnacentral:rRNA from 1 species